GGAAUCUUCCGCAAUGGGCGCAAGCCUGACGGAGCAACGCCGCGUGAGUGAAGAAGGUCUUCGGAUCGUAAAGCUCUGUUGAGAGGGACGAAUGCCGCUUCUGUGAAUAAUGGGAGCGGAUGACGGUACCUUUCGAGGAAGCCACGGCUAACUACGUGCCAGCAGCCGCGGUAAUACGUAGGUGGCGAGCGUUGUCCGGAAUUAUUGGGCGUAAAGGGAGCGCAGGCGGGACAUCAGGUCUCACUUAAAAGUGCGGGGCUCAACCCCGUGAUGGGUGAGAAACCGGUGUUCUUGAGUGCAGGAGAGGAAAGCGGAAUUCCCAGUGUAGCGGUGAAAUGCGUAGAUAUUGGGAGGAACACCAGUGGCGAAGGCGGCUUUCUGGACGGCAACUGACGCUGAGGCUCGAAAGCCAGGGGAGCGAACG
rnacentral:rRNA from 1 species